GACGAACGCUGGCGGCGUGCUUAACACAUGCAAGUCGAACGGAAAGACCCUGCGUUUGUGGGGUGCUCGAGUGGCGAACGGGGGAGAAAAACGUGAGGAACCCGCCCUUGACUUUGGGAUAACAUCAGGGAAAUGGGGCUAAUACAGGGGAGAAGAUCCUGCAGCAUGUGGGUGGUUGGAGAGAUUCGGCGGUGGUGGAUCGAAUAGCGGCUUAUGCGCUAGUUGGUCGGGUAGUGGCUGACCACGGGUUUGACGGGUAGGCCGCCUGAGAGGGUUACCGGCCACAAUGGGCCUGAGAUACGCACCAGUAUCCUACGGGCGGCAGCAGUCGAGAGUCUUGCACAAUGGGCGGGAGCCUGAUGUGACAGCGUCGCGUGCGUGAUGACGUGUUUCGGGUUGUAAACCGAUGUCUAAUGUACCGAAGCCUGAGUGACGGUAAUGGGUAAAGAAGCACCGGCUAACUACGUG
rnacentral:rRNA from 1 species